UGCAUCUGCAGCUCAUGAGGAUGAGAACCUCCGGGGGCAGGGAGGUUCGACUCGAGCGAAGCGAGAGAACGUUGCGCCAGCAACGGCCCGCAGGGC
rnacentral:sRNA from 1 species